AAGAAAAUAUGUACUAAAAAUUUUGUUACCAUGUAGAUAACUAUAAUGGAAAAGGGAGAUAAUGAUGGUAUAUAAGUUUUUAUGUACACAUUCAAACAAAACUAAGAUUUUCGGUUACUACUAAAUAAACUACAAACACUCACAUACAUACACACGUACAUACGCGUACUUCGCAACUACAUAAGCGUUUAUUAUUAUUUUAUUUCUAAAACAUAACCUGACAAAACCUAGACUUAAUUCUAAAGAAUAUUUUAACAAAUGCAUAAAUCUUUAAGGCAUCCUAUCAUAUUUGUUUUGAGAUCAAUACAGUAUUUAAAAAUAAACUUUAUAAAAAGUGAGUGUAAAUUAAAGAUAUAAUGUUGACAAAAAGAAACAUGUCAAAUAUUCUAGAACCAUUUAUAGAUCAAUGAUAACUAUAAUAGUUUAUAAAUAUAAGGAAGCAAUAUCAUUGUAGGCGUUCAAAGAAAUAUACAUAAUAACAUACAAUGAUAAUUAGAGCAAGACGAAUAGUGAGAGAGCCAUUUAAGGAUCGACGAGUAUUGCUGACAUAAGGCUGUGUUCACACCAUUUUAGCCGACGAGAAAAUGUACUUUGACUUUUUACAUAUACAUGAGACAAAGAAAUAGAUAAUAUUUUAAUAGUGACUGAUUUUUUUUUUAAUAUUUAUUGUAAAAAUAUUAUAAAAUUAAAGAUUUACGUUACAUUACGUUUUUGUGACAUUAAAUAAGCGGGUUCCAAAAGCUUUAAACAAAACUUCCGUGAUGUAUACUGUCAUAGCAUGAUUCAAUGCUCUCAUAACAUUCUCAUUAUUUUUGUUUUGAAGUUCAAGGAUUUUAUUUGGUUAUAUAUAACGUACUCACAAAUGUUUGACAAUGCACUUGUAUUUACAAGCUUUAGAAACAUGUUCCGCAAAUUGUUUGCCCUCUUCGCUGUCGUGGCUGUGGCUUUCGCCGCUCCAAAACCUGACCCAGCCCCACAGCUGGUCGCUUACUCAGCCGGCCUGGACUACGUCUAUCCUGCUGCUUACUCAGCCAGUCUCCCAUCAGUAGUUUCUCCGUACAAUGCUCCACUUGCUCCCCUCACUUACUCUGCGUACCCAGCUAACGCGUAUUUCGUCCGUUAAAACUAAUUAUGAUACUACACCGAUGACAAUUUAAAUCAAUUCCGCUUUUGACAAUAAAUUAACUUUUAAUUGCAAUAA